rnacentral:lncRNA from 1 species
GCUCAAACACAAAACAUGAAUAUUUUCUGUCCAGGGGGUAUUUAUUUUAUGAUAAAAAUAUAAGUUCAUAUAAAAAUUAAGCUAUAUGUUGACAAUUUCAUUGAAACUGACAGAAAGUUAUUUUUAAAAUGUCACAAAAUAUAGAUAAAAUGUAAAUUAAUGCCUUUAGCAUACUUGUUUUCAACAACACAUCAAUGUAUUUUUAAGAUUUGUUUCAAAAAAAGAUUGCACUUUCUGACAUCUUUUUGUUUUCAUCUGGCAUCAUCAGAGCAUUCAUUAAAAAAAACAAAAACAUUACGACCGUGAAAUGUCCCGACAUUUCAAACUGAAAUUAGAUCAACAUCUUGUCAUCCAUGUUCAGAACUUGACAUUGCAAAACACAUUGAGAAAUACAGAAUGACUGGAUAAGAUUAUUCCAUCUCCAUCCUUAUAAAGAGACGGGUAACUGACAACGCUCAGCAGAGGCGUCCACAUCACCUCUAGAUCUCACAGUGCUCACUUUGCUGUCUGUGACACCAGUUUAUUUUUUGGUUCUGACAAACAAGCUGUGGAAAGGUGAGAAGUCAAUUUAAUCCUGAUGUUACUUUAAUAAAUGCAAAGUCUUUUAGAUGAGAUGUGAUGAGCUUUGACACUGGUGAAUGAAGGCAGUGAAUAAUUAUGAAUGUGGCCACUGUGAUUUGUUCCUCAGGAUGAAGUGUGUUAUGAUCUUUCUGGUGUUGACGCUGGUCGUCAUCAUGGCUGAAGCCCAGACAUAUGGUGAUUUUAGCAAUAGUGGGAACACAGGAACAACUGGAGGUCUCCACUUUGGAGGAUGCAAAAUGACACGGCUCCCACACGGGCAUGGUGUUAUUAUCAAUAGUGGAAACACAGGCACAACUGGAAGCAUCACAAAUAAACCAUUCGAAUGCAGAUGCACAUGUGGAACAACCCAAGGUGAAGUGGCCAGCUAUAAAUUGAUGCGAUACUAUGAAGACUGAGUCUGUUUUUGAUUUUGAUGAUAUAGUUUGAGCUAUAUCUUUGUGAUUUGCAAAGCAAGAAAUAAUUGGAUCAGUAAACAUGAAGUUCUUGAGAUGUAGUGAUUUUAGUCACAGCUCCUAUUGAUGUUAAAAAAAUUAAUAUUGCUUGAUAGUGAAAACUAUCCUGCUGAAUAAAGCUGCAUUCCAAAAGACCAUCUCUGUGUUGUGGUGUUAUUUAAGUAAACAUGUGCUUGUAAUUUUACUGGUGAUGAUGAUCAGAAACAUUGUCUUCAUUAAGUCAGAGGUAAAUGUUUAUAUUAAGUAGAUUUAAAUAAUGAGUGUGUUGGUGUUAUCAGUUUAUUAAAUGAACAUUCUUCCUAUUCGAUCAGUAGAUGAAUGUCUUUUUUGAAUACGGCCAACAGUCCAGACAUUCAAGUUACUAUGAGGUGAAAUGAGUAAAAAGAAAUGAACUAAUACCUAGAAUUGAUUAGCUGGAACCAUCAAAUGUGGGGAGAGCUUUAACAGUAAGAAUGUAUUUUUAUCCCUAUCUUUUUUUUUUUUUUUUUUUAACAAUAUCUUUAUAAGCUUUUCCUAGAUACAUUGACAUUACGCAGUGUUUAUGACAGGGAAAGUUCAGCGAUUGUCAAAACCCUCCCUCCCAAACUAACCCUUGCCAGUCUUCACCCUUCCCAUCCCUCCCCAGCUAGUCUAUAGCAUAUCCCAUACAAAAAGAAAAGAAAAAAAGAUAUAAAAAAGGAAAAUUGAAUAAAAAAUAAAAAGUAAAUAAAUUAAAAAAAGAUAAAGUGGUACAAUAAAUUUAAACAAAAAAUAAAUUAAAUUAAAGCAGAAGGUUACAGUGCAGAUGAUUAGGGUUAGGGUUAGCAGACAAGGCUUCAACAGUGAUGUACAGUCUGCUCCUCAAAAACAACAUGUUGGGAAAAGUUAUUUGAUACCUGUUGCUGUUACACCAUAAGUGGUCAGCUGACAGUGUGAUGUUUUCAAAGUACCCCUCAAAGCUACUCCAACAUUUGUUCUAAAGAUGGGGCUUUUUUUAAGUUGAACCUAAUCUUUUCAGAGGCCAUUUCUGAAGCAGUUUCUUUUAACUACAUAGAGACAGUAGGAGGGUCCUCUUCCAUGAUAUAGCUAUGCAUUUGUUUCCAGCAAUCAGAGCU